rnacentral:lncRNA from 1 species
GAGUUUUUUGGAUGAUUAGUGUGAUGGCAGCAGCUCUUUUGCCUGGGGUUAGGCUGCUCCAGAGAGAGAGGACACAGUUGUCAGAAUCACUCAGUGACUGGCACCCUGCCCCACUGUACACAACACUCCAGGAAUACUUGGCCAUGUGCAGGGUUCAGGUUGUGCACAUAACCUCCUCAGUGGCUGGGGCAGCCCCGUGGUUCUUAGGCUGCACCUAGACAUCUGGUUAUGGCUCAACCAAAAUGAGAUUCACUACUUGCAUUGGCUGGGUCUUGCCAUCUGGAGACAGAGGUGGCAUUGUGGACCAUGGUACCAUUCAGAGACUGGAGUGCAAAGGCGGCACCAGGGAGAGGAGUCUGACAUCCUGAGUCGGGCAGUGCAUUCCCUGGUCUGUCCCAAGUUUUGGAAGCCAUAAGACCCAAGAGACCCUGUGAGUGGCCUUUCUUUGUGUGCUCAUUGGUGUUUUUGGAGAAGGUGUCCCUUGGCACAACUGCCAUCAGCAGCCUGGCCUCACUUUUGCUAACUGGCCCCACUCUGUGCCCAUUGCUUUCUGUGCAUUUCGGUUUUGGUCCAGGAGUGUUUCUCAAACCUGGUCAUGUGACUUGAGGCACUAUUAAAAAUCAUCAAGCCCAGGAUUUGUCCCUACAGACUGAUUCUUCAAUGAGCCCCAAUGGUCAUUUUUGUUGUCUCACUGCUGGUUGUUGCCAUGAGCAGUAAGGGUGGAGACCUGGCUCAGUGCUGAAGUCUUUGUGGGGAAGACUCAUAAUAUGGACAAGAAGAUGUGACAGGCCAUGGAGGAGACUAACCACAUGGACAUGCGACAAGCAUGAGGACUUGAGACACACUCCCAGGUGGCCGGCCAUUUUCUCAGAGCAUCUGCAUGAUCUCAGUCCCAUGUGGGACUGGUGGUGAGUGGUCCUUCCAAGUCAGGGCCUGAGGUGCAUUCCUAGUGAUGAAUAAACAUUCUGAUGACAGGGUUGUUCUGUGGCAUGGGAGGGUGAAUGGUGGCUCUGGCGACGUUCAACAAGGGAAAAACAAGGGUAGAAUAUUGGUGGCCUCCAAUCUCCUGUUGGCCACACUUCAUCCCUGUGUGAGGACAUAGAAAAUGACAAGUUCAUCAGACAGUGCUCUAAUCUCUAGGGUAUACAAAGAACUCAAAAAGUUAAACACCAAGUACCAAAUAACCCAAUCAACAAAUGGGCCAAGGACCUGAACAGACACUUCUCAGAAGAGGAUAUACAAUCAAUCAACAAAUACACGAAAAAAUGCUCAACAUCUGUAGCAAUCAGAAAUGCAAAUUAAAACUACUCUAAGAUACCAUCUCACUCCAGUAAGAAUGGCAGUCAUUAGGAAUUCAAACAAGUGCUGUCGAGGAUGCGGGAAAAAGUACACUCAUACAUUGCUGGUGGGCCUGCAAAUUGGUGCAGCCAAUUUGGAAAGCAGUAUGGAGAUUCCUUGGAAAGUGGGAAUGGGACCACCAUUUGACCCAGCUAUUCCUCUUCUCAGACUAUUCCCAAAAGACCUAAAAACAGCAUACUACAGGGACACAGCUACAUCAAUGUUUACAGCAGCACAAUUCAUAAUAGCUAGACUGUGGAGCCAACCUAAAUGCCCUUCAAUAGAUGAAUGGAUAAAGAAAAUGUGGCAUUUAUACACAAUGGAAUAUUACUCAGAAAUAAAAAAAUGACAAGAUCAUGGCAUUCACAGGGAAAUGGAUGGCCUUAAAGCAGAUUAGAAAUGC